UACGGGGGGGGCAAGCGUUGUUCGGAAUUACUGGGCGUAAAGGGCUUGUAGGUGGCCAACUAAGUCAGACGUGAAAUCCCUCGGCUUAACCGGGGAACUGCGUCUGAUACUGGAUGGCUGGAGUGUGGGAGAGGGAUGCGGAAUUCCAGGUGUAGCGGUGAAAUGCGUAGAUAUCUGGAGGAACACCGGUGGCGAAGGCGGCAUCCUGGACCAUUACUGACACUGAGAGACGAAAGCCAGGGGAGCAAACGGG
rnacentral:rRNA from 1 species